GAACACGAUUUAGAAUUGCGAAGUCAAGCCGCCUGCCAAUGGCAAGCGAACGCUUGGGGAAAUUCCCCGGACCGUAGGGCAGCAAGUGCCGGCCAUAACGGCAGACCGCUUCUUUUGGACGCUGCGGAGAUGGCACUUCGGUGCCGGAGCACGUGCUGAUGAAGGAAGUCUGAUCGUCAUACCACAGUUAUGCAAUUGGCCCCUGGCAACGUCGACGUCGUGCGGCAGCCAGUGGGUUAACCCAACGGGGAUCACUCAUGUCGUGUU
rfam:Saprolegnia diclina VS20 unplaced genomic scaffold supercont1.164, whole genome shotgun sequence.